GGGUUGUGAGGUUAAGCGACUAAGCGUACACGGUGGAUGCCCUGGCAGUCAGAGGCGAUGAAGGACGUGCUAAUCUGCGAUAAGCGUCGGUAAGGUGAUAUGAACCGUUAUAACCGGCGAUUUCCGAAUGGGGAAACCCAGUGUGUUUCGACACACUAUCAUUAACUGAAUCCAUAGGUUAAUGAGGCGAACCGGGGGAACUGAAACAUCUAAGUACCCCGAGGAAAAGAAAUCAACCGAGAUUCCCCCAGUAGCGGCGAGCGAACGGGGAGGAGCCCAGAGCCUGAAUCAGUGUGUGUGUUAGUGGAAGCGUCUGGAAAGGCGCGCGAUACAGGGUGACAGCCCCGUACACAAAAAUGCACAUGCUGUGAGCUCGAUGAGUAGGGCGGGACACGUGGUAUCCUGUCUGAAUAUGGGGGGACCAUCCUCCAAGGCUAAAUACUCCUGACUGACCGAUAGUGAACCAGUACCGUGAGGGAAAGGCGAAAAGAACCCCGGCGAGGGGAGUGAAAAAGAACCUGAAACCGUGUACGUACAAGCAGUGGGAGCACGCUUAGGCGUGUGACUGCGUACCUUUUGUAUAAUGGGUCAGCGACUUAUAUUCUGUAGCAAGGUUAACCGAAUAGGGGAGCCGAAGGGAAACCGAGUCUUAACUGGGCGUUAAGUUGCAGGGUAUAGACCCGAAACCCGGUGAUCUAGCCAUGGGCAGGUUGAAGGUUGGGUAACACUAACUGGAGGACCGAACCGACUAAUGUUGAAAAAUUAGCGGAUGACUUGUGGCUGGGGGUGAAAGGCCAAUCAAACCGGGAGAUAGCUGGUUCUCCCCGAAAGCUAUUUAGGUAGCGCCUCGUGAAUUCAUCUCCGGGGGUAGAGCACUGUUUCGGCAAGGGGGUCAUCCCGACUUACCAACCCGAUGCAAACUGCGAAUACCGGAGAAUGUUAUCACGGGAGACACACGGCGGGUGCUAACGUCCGUCGUGAAGAGGGAAACAACCCAGACCGCCAGCUAAGGUCCCAAAGUCAUGGUUAAGUGGGAAACGAUGUGGGAAGGCCCAGACAGCCAGGAUGUUGGCUUAGAAGCAGCCAUCAUUUAAAGAAAGCGUAAUAGCUCACUGGUCGAGUCGGCCUGCGCGGAAGAUGUAACGGGGCUAAACCAUGCACCGAAGCUGCGGCAGCGACACUAUGUGUUGUUGGGUAGGGGAGCGUUCUGUAAGCCUGCGAAGGUGUGCUGUGAGGCAUGCUGGAGGUAUCAGAAGUGCGAAUGCUGACAUAAGUAACGAUAAAGCGGGUGAAAAGCCCGCUCGCCGGAAGACCAAGGGUUCCUGUCCAACGUUAAUCGGGGCAGGGUGAGUCGACCCCUAAGGCGAGGCCGAAAGGCGUAGUCGAUGGGAAACAGGUUAAUAUUCCUGUACUUGGUGUUACUGCGAAGGGGGGACGGAGAAGGCUAUGUUGGCCGGGCGACGGUUGUCCCGGUUUAAGCGUGUAGGCUGGUUUUCCAGGCAAAUCCGGAAAAUCAAGGCUGAGGCGUGAUGACGAGGCACUACGGUGCUGAAGCAACAAAUGCCCUGCUUCCAGGAAAAGCCUCUAAGCAUCAGGUAACAUCAAAUCGUACCCCAAACCGACACAGGUGGUCAGGUAGAGAAUACCAAGGCGCUUGAGAGAACUCGGGUGAAGGAACUAGGCAAAAUGGUGCCGUAACUUCGGGAGAAGGCACGCUGAUAUGUAGGUGAAGUCCCUCGCGGAUGGAGCUGAAAUCAGUCGAAGAUACCAGCUGGCUGCAACUGUUUAUUAAAAACACAGCACUGUGCAAACACGAAAGUGGACGUAUACGGUGUGACGCCUGCCCGGUGCCGGAAGGUUAAUUGAUGGGGUCAGCGCAAGCGAAGCUCUUGAUCGAAGCCCCGGUAAACGGCGGCCGUAACUAUAACGGUCCUAAGGUAGCGAAAUUCCUUGUCGGGUAAGUUCCGACCUGCACGAAUGGCGUAAUGAUGGCCAGGCUGUCUCCACCCGAGACUCAGUGAAAUUGAACUCGCUGUGAAGAUGCAGUGUACCCGCGGCAAGACGGAAAGACCCCGUGAACCUUUACUAUAGCUUGACACUGAACAUUGAGCCUUGAUGUGUAGGAUAGGUGGGAGGCUUUGAAGUGUGGACGCCAGUCUGCAUGGAGCCGACCUUGAAAUACCACCCUUUAAUGUUUGAUGUUCUAACGUUGACCCGUGAUCCGGGUUGCGGACAGUGUCUGGUGGGUAGUUUGACUGGGGCGGUCUCCUCCUAAAGAGUAACGGAGGAGCACGAAGGUUGGCUAAUCCUGGUCGGACAUCAGGAGGUUAGUGCAAUGGCAUAAGCCAGCUUGACUGCGAGCGUGACGGCGCGAGCAGGUGCGAAAGCAGGUCAUAGUGAUCCGGUGGUUCUGAAUGGAAGGGCCAUCGCUCAACGGAUAAAAGGUACUCCGGGGAUAACAGGCUGAUACCGCCCAAGAGUUCAUAUCGACGGCGGUGUUUGGCACCUCGAUGUCGGCUCAUCACAUCCUGGGGCUGAAGUAGGUCCCAAGGGUAUGGCUGUUCGCCAUUUAAAGUGGUACGCGAGCUGGGUUUAGAACGUCGUGAGACAGUUCGGUCCCUAUCUGCCGUGGGCGCUGGAGAACUGAGGGGGGCUGCUCCUAGUACGAGAGGACCGGAGUGGACGCAUCACUGGUGUUCGGGUUGUCAUGCCAAUGGCACUGCCCGGUAGCUAAAUGCGGAAGAGAUAAGUGCUGAAAGCAUCUAAGCACGAAACUUGCCCCGAGAUGAGUUCUCCCUGACUCCUUGAGAGUCCUGAAGGAACGUUGAAGACGACGACGUUGAUAGGCCGGGUGUGUAAGCGCAGCGAUGCGUUGAGCUAACCGGUACUAAUGAACCGUGAGGCUUAACCUUACAACGCCGAAGCUGUU
rnacentral:rRNA from 1 species